AGUGAACGCUGGCGGUAUGCCUAACACAUGCAAGUCGAACGGCAGCACAGUAAGAGCUUGCUCUUACGGGUGGCGAGUGGCGGACGGGUGAGGAAUACAUCGGAAUCUACUUUUUCGUGGGGGAUAACGUAGGGAAACUUACUCUAAUACCGCAUACGACCUACGGGUGAAAGCAGGGGAGCUUCUGACCUUGGGCGAUUGAAUGAGCCUAUGUCGGAUUAGCUAGUUGGCGGGGUAAAGGCCGACCAAGGCGGCGAUCCGUAGCUGGACUGGGAGGAUGAUCGGCCGCACUGGAGCUGGGACAGGGUCAAGGCUCCUGCGGGAGGCACCAGUGGGCAAUGUUGGACAGUGGGCGCGAAUAUUGUCCAGUGGUACCGAGCGGGUGGAAGAGGCGUUGGGGUUGUAAAGACCUUUUGUUGGGAGAGAACAGCAGCCGGUUAAUACGCAGCUGUACUGACGGUACCCAAAGAAUAAGCACCGGCUAACUUCGUG
rnacentral:rRNA from 1 species